CCUUCGGCCCAUCGAGUCCGCACCAACCAGCGAUCCCCGCACACUAACACUAUCCUACACUAUGAACGAUUUUUACUUUAAUACCAAGCCUAUUCAUGUAUAUAAUGGCAGCUCCUUCCACAUACCUUCCCACCCAGUGAGUGAAAACGUUGCUCCUCAAGUUUCUAUUUAAUCUUUAUCUGCUCACCUUAAACACAAGUCCUCUGGUUCUUGAAUCCCGUACCCUGGGUAAAAACAUUCAGUGCAUUCAGGCAGCAUUUUGUGUCUAUCUUCGAUUUAAACCAGUAUCUACAGUUCUUUCCCACACAAUUCUUGAAUCAGUGCAGUCUUGUUCAAAUGAGCAC